UUGAGCCGUAUGAUGGGAAACUAUCAAGUACGGUUCUGAGGGGGGAAAGGACCCGCGAGGGUCCUGCCCUACCCGGU
rnacentral:ncRNA from 1 species